GUCACCACAGAUGGCCUAUAGUUUUGUGAUAUUGGUGUCUUCUCUUCUCUAAGAAUAUAUGUGUGGCAAUUCAAUCCUCAAAAAGAAGAUAACGUGACCCUUUUUCCCCCCACUCAAAUACUCAAUUUCCCUUUAAAUAAAAUAAAUAUUUUUAAAAAAAUCCCAUAUUGUUAGUUAAUUAGUUUCCUUGCACUUCAAUGCGAAGCUAUCCAAUUCUGCAAAGGUUUAUUGUUAUUGGGAAACUUAAUAAAGAAAAAUAAGAUAAUUGGGCCUAUCCCUUUAUCCUCUACAGUUGGGCAACAUUUAGUUUGAAAACACAUGGCUUUGAGAAAAUGGAUAACUCAUAACCGAUUCAUAUACACAAACACAUGCAACUAUAAGCUCCUUACAAGAGAAAGAGUGAAAGGCAUGCAUGCAUAUAUGCCCUUUUGGAGAAUUUGAAAGGUUAGAGAAGCCACUCGUAUAUAUCAUCUUUGAGACGUGGAGGUGGACCCCAUUUCCGAUUGAUGAUCCCAAAUGACAAUGACUCAUAUAUGGUUGGACCCCUUAGCACCAAUUCCAUAGAAGAAGUGGAAAUUUCAAGAUGUCAAUUUCAUAGCUGAACAUUUCUUUUUUGGGGUAAUAUAAUAACAUGGGUUUGGCCCCAUAUAUAUUGGUAAGGAUUUUACUUUAAUUAGUGCAUAAUGUAAAUAAAUAAUAAUAAUGGGAUUGAAUUCUAAGUUAGCAAACUUCAUUAUUCAAAGCAUUCAAAUUUUAAAAAAUAUAUCUUCGACUUGAAGAGAAACUCAAAACAAAAAUGUGUUGGUUACGAACUAAUAAAAAAGUAAAAAUGGUGAAAUAUAAUUUCAGCAUUAUG